rnacentral:tRNA from 1 species
UCCCCAGUGGCUCAGCGGUAAAGGAUCUGCCUUCACUGCAGGAGACACAGGUUUGAUCCCUGUUUCAGGAA